rnacentral:rRNA from 1 species
AUUGAACGCUGGCGGAAUGCUUUACACAUGCAAGUCGAGCGGCAGCGCGGGGCAACCCUGGCGGCGAGCGGCGAACGGGUGAGUAACAUAUCGGAACGUACCCAGUCGUGGGGGAUAACUAUCCGAAAGGAUAGCUAAUACCGCAUACGUCCUGAGGGAGAAAGCGGGGGAUCGCAAGACCUCGCGCGAUUGGAGCGGCCGAUAUCGGAUUAGCUAGUUGGUGGGGUAAAGGCUCACCAAGGCGACGAUCCGUAGCGGGUCUGAGAGGACGACCCGCCACACUGGAACUGAGACACGGUCCAGACUCCUACGGGAGGCAGCAGUUGGGGAAUAUUGCGCAAUGGGCGAAAGCCUGACGCAGCGACGCCGCGUGGGGGAUGAAGGUUUUCGGAUUGUAAACCCCUUUCAUGAGGAAAGAUAAAGUGGGUAACCACUUAGACGGUACCUCAAGAAGAAGCCACGGCUAACUUCGUGCCAGCAGCCGCGGUUAAUGUCGAUAUCG